ensembl:lncRNA
GGGGAAUAACUUUUCCACGAUAUUCUCAUUUUUUGAGAUGCACCUCUACCUAAGGGUGUGCAAACUUUUGCACGCAACACUAUCAAAUCGCAUACAGUAUAAUCAUGAAAACUGGCAAGAGGUACACUAGCCUAACUUUGAUCAUUUCAGUGUGUGUGUGUGUGUAGUUUUUAAGAUAUCUACUAAGUAUGCUGUGUCCUGCCUCUAUAAUGUCAUGUAGCCUUGUCCAGUGUGGCUGCGCUCGAUUUGCGCAGAUUAAACACUCUCAUUAGGUCAAUGAAGCACCAGGAGGGUCGCGUGAGGGGCGGGACCGCGAGCCAAAAAAACGGAAAGUCACGGCUAGUGCAGACUUCCUUUCUCCAAGGUGUCACAUCCAGGCAAAAAAAAAAGAGAGAGAGAGAGAGGAAAAAGUCGACAAAAACAAGGUUUCUCUCCAGAACCAUUUUGAAUGCUCUGGGAAAAAACCCCGAGGCGCGUGCAAAAAGUUCAAGCAGGCCUUUUCUUUCAAACACUCCAUGAAAAGUGGGCUCCGGUGUUGUUUACAUGAUUUUUAAAGGAUAAAAUACUCCUACACGGAUAAGGUGGAUACAAUGGCUGACCAGGAAAUAUCUAUGGAUGACAGUAUAACAGUUGUGUUGGUGUUACAGUGUGAAUCUCAGCAGGCUGUGUCUCCUAGAGAGGACACAGAUGUUUAACACGACCAAUGUGGGCGGAAAUGAAGUUGCAGUUUUACACUUCCUUCUCCCUAGCUGCAGCUCUGUGGACUUUCUGAAGCAAUCUUCAUGCUCAGUUAUGCACACAGCUGCGGAUAUGGUACAUGACAUUGAUUUUUUAUUAAAGUUAGUUUGGGUUUGAAGCAGAUAAUUGAACCUGGCUACCUGGUUUAGCACAGGCUUUAAGUCUGGUUCCUUUAAAAGAAGGACAAAACAUUUGAUGGGGUUUUCAGCUGCAAAGCUACAACCGUGCUAGUGAUGGGCGACUCGUGAGCUGCUCGAUUCUUUUUAAGUUACUCAUUAUUAAAGCGAGUCGUCCGAAUCGAAUCUUUAGUCAGCCGUGUUGUGGGUUGUUUUCUGCUUCUUUUAUUUGACUUUUUUUUUCUUUUUUUAAUGUUUUUUAUUUAUUUACAUUUUCCAUGCUGUUAUGCUUGACCAGAAUGAAAAGGACAUUUAUGCUACAUUUUAAGUUGGUUUUUGGAUUGACUUUUUCCUACUUGUAGAGUCUCAAAUGUAAAGUAGUUGUAAAGUCUUUGUUGUGUUUACUAACACUUUGACUAUUGUAAAAUAGUUUAAUCAUAUAAAUAUGCAUGGCUUGAUAUGCCUCAGUGACGACUAAAAAAAAAAGGUUUUAUUGAGACACAAUUACCCAAGAUGAACUACUGAGAUUGAAAGUGUAAAGCUCAGGAAUUCGGUUUGAAAAGUAUUUUUGAUUCUCACGUUUGUAAUGACCUUUUUAAGCAUAACUUUUAGGUCGAAAACUUGACUACUAUAUUUGUUUAUAACGCACAAGUGGCAAUUAGACUAGAUUUGGAGCUGUAAAUAGAUAUAGGCUACUACAUCUCAGGGGAGAGAUAUGUAUAUAUUAGUACAGGCUUACUACUUUUUCUCUAGAGUAAAACAUCAUAAGGUAUAAACUUCUGUACCUGGCCUGCUUAAUUAAUACUUUUUUUUUUUUGGAUGAUUCACACCAGAAGAAUCAAACGGUUCGAAGUCUCAGUUUGAAUCUUUUCGACGGGUUUGUUCGAAAGAAUCGAAUCUGUAAAACUGACUCGUGAUGGCCAUCCCUGAACGGCGCAGCGCGGAGUCACGUGGUACAGUGCUGGAGAGCGCUGAGUCAAUGCAGCAAAAAGUCCGCGUGCCUCAUUACCGCCGUCAUCUUCAUCAUCUCUGGUGAAACCGCAAGGAGGUGAAGGUGAAUUCCUGACAUUUCUACCCGUCUCGCCACCUUUUUUUGUUUUCUAAAAUCAAAGACGCACGUGAUGUAAUACUUUGUCAUCGAUCGAACGGCAUGAAUACAUGAAGGGGAGCGAAGAAAAGCAUGUGGAGUUUGGAGUUUUAGUUUCCAGCGUUACGUCAUGGUUUAGGUAUUCGCCAGAGACGACGGACGGAAAGAAAGAGACGGGAGCGAGGUUAUGCAGACGCACGGGAGGACGCCGGGUGUUCCGUUAACGUCCGUACCUUUUCCACGUGAAGUCAAGGAUGCGGUUGGAUCAUGGUGUCCGAAACCGGAACUCUGGAUUUCUUUUAACGCACCGAUUUCUGUUGGUUUUGCGGACAAUUUUCAAAAGCAGUUUUGCUUCGGGUCAGCCCAGGCCGAGAUAACAACCAGUCAUCCAAACUAACUGUGCAAAAGGAAGCUGUCUUGCCUAUACAAAAACAUUGUGAUUAAACAAAUGUCCAUUAGCUCUUCUUUUCUCCCUGACUGACAAAAUACAGAGAAAAUUCCCACACCGAACUAAAAUGGCAGCCAAACUCAACACUCGGUGACUUGGGUAAGACAAAAUGUUUACAAGCAACAAUAUUUAGACGACAGGACGUAUACUCCGUCAAAACCAAAGGGCACGGGCGGAUCUCCACAUACACAAACAAGCCUGAGGCCAUGUACCAGAAUCACAUGUCACUAGUAGCACAAACACGCGAGCAUGAGGCUGAUGAGUCCAAACUGCUGACUCUGUUAGUACUCAUGGAUCCACAGGUGUGGAAUACGGGAUUAGACCGGGAAUGCACUAAUCACAGAGAGAAUCCACACCUAAACACACAAAACACACACGGGAGGCCUUAACACCCCUUCCCAAACGAGCGAACCAGACACGAGAGGAUUCCUGAUCGUAUAAAUUCUAACACCUAGGACGGACAUCAGCUACGAUAUUAUUGGUACCCCGUUUUGUCGAUCAUUUGGAUGUCAUAAGCCGAGGCUGGGUAUCGUGACCAAUUUGGCGAUUCACUUCUUAUUCAUAUGGUUCCGAUUCGAUUCAGUAUCGGUCAGUUCUCAAUAAUUCAUUUAAAAUGCCAGUUUUGCACACAUGGAAUCCAUGUUUGAAUAUAAACGCCGGUAACUGAAACCCUUCUACUUAGCGAUAUUACCGAAACACACGUUUACUUUAACACUAGGGCGCACAUAGUUACGUCGAAUCACUUUUUACUUUUACUUUGAGUAACAAGAAACUUGUCACAAUAAAAUCAUCAAUAUGUGCAUGCAGUGCACACACACUGCACAUUACUGUAAAAAAAUAAAUACAAACAAAAAAAAACCUCGCAACGGUGAAAUUCAUUAACGACGUGAAACGUGUUUUUAAGAAAUGAAAUUGUUUUCAAAACACGAACGACGGCGACGUGUUCAGGACGAGAGGCGACUGCAGGUGAUAUUCACGUCCUCUCGAGUAAAGCACGCGCGUUAAGAAUCGAUUCGGGGAUUUCACGGAGAAGGAGAAUCGUUCAUUUAUUUA